rnacentral:tRNA from 1 species
GGGGUUGUGGCUCAGUGGUAGAGCGCUUGCCUAGAACACACGAGGCCCUGGGUUCUAUCCCUAGCACCA